GUCCAUCGGAAAGAAUGUAGCCUUCACAAUAAGCCACCUCAGGUUUCCUGUAUUGACUGUGAAGGAACCAUGGAACGAUGUUUACUUCUCAAACAAACGAAAGAGAUAAAAAAAAGAAUGGAGAAAUGUCCCCCGUCAAUGAAUAUUCAUCGUACUGGGUCAGCACAUGCAAUGUUCCAAAAAUCAGGAAAUGAACAGCAACAAAUUGGAUGUCUUGGAUGCAUCUGAGAUGUAAAAAGGAUCAAGGACAAUUGCAACUGGCCAUUUGAAAAAAAAAUUAAAAUCCUUCACACGUUACAUUUAAUAUAUAUACAGUAUAUAUUAAAUGUAACAUGUUUCUUUUCUUGCAGGCUUAACAUUUGUAUGCCUGUACAAAUAAAUGAAAUUU